GGUCCCAGAAGGAGGUAGACACCAAGAGCAACAGAUGAGAAAAAUGAUGGGGAGCCUAAAGAGCAAGCGGGGAGGGAAGGGAAGCCGCAGCCCUUGGUGCCUGGCCGAGGAUGCUGCACGGCUGCUUAUGACCCCUGAACUAAGUCAGCAGGAGGUCAGUGGAUCACCUUUGGGAUGGUGCAGCUCUGUUUGGGACCCUGGGGGAGCCUCACCGAGGUGCACCACUGUCCUCCCAGCUGAGCAGCACCCCAGCCCGUGCCUGGAAAAUAGAAUUCUGUCCUGAGAAAAACCUUCUCUCUGAGAAUCAAGCUCUUUCUCCUUGUGGACCCCCCAGUGCUUGUCCAAGGGCCCAGGGCCCAGGUGAGGGAUGUUUUGAAACCUGUGGGACCAUCACCACCUAGCUGCUGCAUGGAUGGAUGCUCCUGUGCCGUGGCACUGCUAA